CCUACGGGAGGCAGCGGUAGGGAAUCUUCCACAAUGGACGAAAGUCUGAUGGAGCAACGCCGCGUGAGUGAAGAAGGUUUUAGGAUCGUAAAACUCUGUUGUUGGAGAAGAACAGGGACUAGAGUAACUGUUAGUCCUUUGACGGUAUCCAACCAGAAAGCCACGGCUAACUACGUGCCAGCAGCCGCGGUAAU
rnacentral:rRNA from 1 species